AUUGAACGCUGGCGGCAUGCCUUACACAUGCAAGUCGAACGGCAGCACGGGAGCAAUCCUGGUGGCGAGUGGCGAACGGGUGAGUAAAGUAUCGGAACGUGCCCAGUCGUGGGGGAUAACGUAGCGAAAGUUACGCUAAUACCGCAUACGAUCUAUGGAUGAAAGCGGGGGAUCGCAAGACCUCGCGCGAUUGGAGCGGCAGAUAUCAGAUUAGGUAGUUGGUGGGGUAAAGGCUCACCAAGCCGACGGUCUGUAGCUGGUCUGAGAGGACGACCGGCCACACUGGGACUGAGACACGGCCCAGACUCCUACGGGAGGCAGCAGUGGGGAAUUUUGGACAAUGGGCGAAAGCCUGAUCCAGCCAUGCCGCGUGCAGGAUGAAGGCCUUCGGGUUGUAAACUGCUUUUGUACGGAACGAAAAGGUUUGGCCUAAUAAGCUGAGCUCAUGACGGUACCGUAAGAAUAAGCACCGGCUAACUACGUGCCAGCAGCCGCGGUAACAC
rnacentral:rRNA from 1 species